CCUACGGGAGGCAGCAGUGGGGAAUAUUGGACAAUGGGCGAAAGCCUGAUCCAGCCAUGCCGCGUGAGUGAUGACGGCCUUAGGGUUGUAAAGCUCUUUCAUCAGGGACGCGGUACCUGAAGAAGAAGCCCCGGCUAACUUCGUGCCAGCAGCCGCGGUAAUACGAAGGGGGCUAGCGUUGUUCGGAAUUACUGGGCGUAAAGCGCAUGUAGGCGGGUCUUUAAGUCAGGGGUGAAAUGCCAAGGCUCAACCUUGGAACUGCCUUUGAUACUGGAGAUCUUGAGUCCGGGAGAGGUGAGUGGAACUGCGAGUGUAGAGGUGAAAUUCGUAGAUAUUCGCAAGAACACCAGUGGCGAAGGCGGCUCACUGGCCCGGACUGACGCUGAGAUGCGAAAGCGUGGGGAGCAAACAGGAUUAGAUACCCUUGUAGUC
rnacentral:rRNA from 1 species